UUUGAAGUGAAAUCGAGUAGGACGGAGCACGAGAAACUUUGUCUGAACAUGGGGGGACCAUCCUCCAAGGCUAAAUACUACUGACUGACCGAUAGUGAACCAGUACCGUGAGGGAAAGGCGAAAAGAACCCCGGAGAGGGGAGUGAAAUAGAACCUGAAACCGUAUGCGUACAAGCAGUGGGAGCCUACUUGUUAGGUGACUGCGUACCUUUUGUAUAAUGGGUCAGCGACUUAUAUUCAGUGGCAAGCUUAACCGUAUAGGGUAGGCGUAGCGAAAGCGAGUCUUAAUAGGGCGUUUAGUCGCUGGGUAUAGACCCGAAACCGGGCGAUCUAUCCAUGAGCAGGUUGAAGGUUAGGUAACACUGACUGGAGGACCGAACCCACUCCCGUUGAAAAGGUAGGGGAUGACUUGUGGAUCGGAGUGAAAGGCUAAUCAAGCUCGGAGAUAGCUGGUUCUCCUCGAAAGCUAUUUAGGUAGCGCCUCAUGUAUCACUCUGGGGGGUAGAGCACUGUUUCGGCUAGGGGGUCAUCCCGACUUACCAAACCGAUGCAAACUCCGAAUACCCAGAAGUGCCGAGCAUGGGAGACACACGGCGGGUGCUAACGUCCGUCGUGAAAAGGGAAACAACCCAGACCGCCAGCUAAGGUCCCAAAGUUGUGGUUAAGUGGUAAACGAUGUGGGAAGGCUUAGACAGCUAGGAGGUUGGCUUAGAAGCAGCCAUCCUUUAAAGAAAGCGUAAUAGCUCACUAGUCGAGUCGGCCUGCGCGGAAGAUGUAACGGGGCUCAAACCACACACCGAAGCUGCGGGUGUCACGUAAGUGACGCGGUAGAGGAGC
rnacentral:rRNA from 1 species